GACGAACGCUGGCGGCGUGCCUAAUACAUGCAAGUCGAACGAGAAACUUCGGUUUCUAGUGGCGAACGGGUGAGUAACACGUGGGCAACCUGCCCUCAAGCUUGGGAUAACUCCGGGAAACCGGGGCUAACACCAAAUGAUCUUUUUUCCGCAUGGGAGAGAAGUAAAAGUUUACACUUGAGGAUGGGGCCCGCGGUGCAUUAGCUAGUUGGUGGGGUAACGGCCUACCAAGGCGACGAUGCAUAGCCGACCUGAGAGGGUGACCGGCCACACUGGGACUGAGACACGGCCCAGACUCCUACGGGUGGCUG
rnacentral:rRNA from 1 species